rnacentral:lncRNA from 1 species
CCGGCCGUUAGCUCGCCCUCUCCCGCAGCCCCGCCCCCUCGCGCCGGCCGUUAGUUCGCACUCUCCCGCAGCCCUGUCCUUUCGCGCUGGCCGUUAGUUCGCCCCUGGGUGCACGCAGCUGCUUCGGGCCGGUCUCUGCCCAAGCGGGGAGGGCGGGGAAGGGCAGGGUGGUGGAGGUUUCCUGCACCUCUCCCGGCUAGUGCGCAGUUUUUUCAUUGCUUUCGCCCUGGGAGAACAAAGGAGACUUCGUAAGACUGCAGGGUGGCUUUGCUGCUGGUCGUGCGCUGUCCUCGGCUAAGCUCCGGGCCUUGAGUAUUUGUAUCUGUGAGACAGCCGGAGGUGCUGGCAGACCUACCUGCUGUAAUCGCACAAAGAAAAUCCUUUGAAGCAGUUUUGAAGGAGAGAAGUCCUGUAUAUCAGGCUGACUUUGGUGUCUCCGUGCCUCCUGCAAUAUGAGGUACAGCAUGUGGCAGAUGAUAGAACAUGCUUAUCACCAUAGAAAUCUCACAAGGAACGGCUCGCAGAGAAGUAUCCUAGUCUGUGGUUCAGUUACUGGAGUGAUACUUCACAGUGAUUUG